GAUGAAUGCUGGCGGCGUGCUUAACACAUGCAAGUCGAGCGGCAGCGCGGUCUUCGGACUGGCGGCGAGCGGCGGACGGCUGAGUAACGCGCGGGAACGUGCCCCAAAGCGAGGAAUAACUGCCCGAAAGGGUGGCUGAUGCCGCAUAUGGUCUUCGGAUUAAAGGAUUUAUCCGCUUUGGGCGCGGCCUGCGUAUGAUUAGGUAGUUGGUGAGGUAAUGGCUCACCAAGCCGACGAUCAUUAGCUGGUCUUAGAGGAUGACCAGCCAGACUGGAACUGAGACACGGUCCAAACUCCUACGGGAGGCAGCAGUGAGGAAUCUUCCACAAUGGGCGAAAGCCUGAUGGAGCAACGCCGCGUGCAGGAUGAAGGCCUUCGGGUUGUAAACUGCUUUUAUAAGUGAAGAAUAUGACGGUAACUUAUGAAUAAGCACCGGCUAACUACGUGCCAGCCGCCGCCGUAA
rnacentral:rRNA from 1 species